GGAGGGUACAGCUCAGUGGUAAGAGCACGUGCCUCACACGCACAAUGUCCUGGGUUCAAUCCCAGCACCUCCA
rnacentral:tRNA from 1 species